rnacentral:rRNA from 1 species
AUGAACGCUGGCGGCGUGCCUAAUACAUGCAAGUCGAGCGAACAGAUGAGGAGCUUGCUCCUCUGACGUUAGCGGCGGACGGGUGAGUAACACGUGGGUAACCUACCUAUAAGACUGGGAUAACUUCGGGAAACCGGAGCUAAUACCGGAUAAUAUAUUGAACCGCAUGGUUCAAUAGUGAAAGACGGUUUUGCUGUCACUUAUAGAUGGAUCCGCGCCGCAUUAGCUAGUUGGUAAGGUAACGGCUUACCAAGGCAACGAUGCGUAGCCGACCUGAGAGGGUGAUCGGCCACACUGGAACUGAGACACGGUCCAGACUCCUACGGGAGGCAGCAGUAGGGAAUCUUCCGCAAUGGGCGAAAGCCUGACGGAGCAACGCCGCGUGAGUGAUGAAGGUCUUCGGAUCGUAAAACUCUGUUAUUAGGGAAGAACAAAUGUGUAAGUAACUAUGCACGUCUUGACGGUACCUAAUCAGAAAGCCACGGCUAACUACGUG